CAUCUCUCUGUCGUCGUCGGUGUCCUCCGGUUCCGGUGGCUCAAAUAUCUCCAGGGCCUCUUCCGCGUCCCGGUGCUGUCGCUGCAACAGAUUGUGCAUAUGCAUGUCUGGGUCAUCAUGAGAACAUGCAGACCUGCACUGUGGGCACCAACCUUUGUGAAUGCAUGGCUGCAAAUUAAAGAAGACAUGUGGCAAAGAGCACAAACAAACAGCGAUGAGCAUAAUAUGUGUUGGAGGAUCUCAGCAGUCUCCCUGAGUAGAUUCCUGUGUGGUUCUUCUGAAACUCAUGCCCAAACUGACUCAAACCCAUUGCUUUUAUAGUUACAACCAGAUUUCCAGAACAAUCCCAGCCCGCCCCCCUCGGCCAAGCACAGUGACUCGACUGUUAAUAUUAGCAACUAAUGCAGCUGGCCUGGUCCGCGAGAGAGCCGGUGAAUAUUCCAGAGAGAGACAGCAGUUUGACGCUCAGCCAGCAGGGCUGACUGUGAGGGAAAGCAAUGUAGCAGGAAGGCACAUUCAGGGAGGUAUGUAGAAGUGUUAGCAGUCAUGAAUGUA